rnacentral:lncRNA from 1 species
AAGUUGUUAAGUUGAAGUGUCAUUUGGGUUUAUGAAUCCCAUGCAUGUUUGUUGAGACUUUGGCAAGUGCACCAAAUCGCUCAAGGAGUAAAACCGGUAAGACCGGAUAUCGUUUCCCAAGAGACUCGGUCACUACUUUACAAUCGUAUAAUUGCUAACUAAUUUAAGCUAAAGAAUGAUUCCAUUUUAGUGUGAAAUUGUGCAAUGAAAGUAAGAGUCAUGCAUAAGUAGAGGUUUGAACUACUUGGGGCCA